rnacentral:rRNA from 1 species
CCUACGGGAGGCAGCAGUGAGGAAUAUUGGUCAAUGGCCGGGAGGCUGAACCAGCCAAGUCGCGUGAGGGAAGACGGCCCUACGGGUUGUAAACCUCUUUUGUCAGGGAGCAAGGUGCAGGUCGGGACCUGCUGUGAGAGUACCUGAAGAAAAAGCAUCGGCAAACUCCGUGCCAGCAGCCGCGGUAAUAAGGAGGAUGCGAGCGUUAUCCGGAUUUAUUGGGUUUAAAGGGUGCGCAGGCGGAGGCACAAGUCAGCGGUAAAAUCGCGGGGCUCAACCCCGCUCCGCCGUUGAAACUGUGUGCCUUGAGUGCGCGAAGGGUAGGCGGAAUGCGUGGUGUAGCGGUGAAAUGCAUAGAUACCACGCAGAACUCCGAUCGCGAAGGCAGCCUACCGGCGCGCAACUGACGCUCAUGCACGAAAGCGUGGGUAUCGAACAGGAUUAGAUACCCGGGUAGUC